CCCUCCUACAAAGGCAUAUCUGUGGUUCCCUGUCUUUGGACAUAUAAGAAUUGGAGGCAAAGAAAUGUGAACUUGGAGAAGUCUAGAGCCAGCUUGUUCCUUGCGGGCUCAAGAUCAACCAUCCGACAUAG